UACGUAGGUGGCGAGCGUUGUUCGGAAUUACUGGGCGUAAAGUGUGCGCAGGCGGCUUCGCAAGUCGAGUGUGAAAUCCCCGAGCUUAACUUGGGAAUUGCGCUCGAAACUACGGAGCUGGAGUGUGGCAGAGGAAGGUGGAAUUCCACGUGUAGCGGUGAAAUGCGUAGAGAUGUGGAGGAACACCGAUGGCGAAGGCAGCCUUCUGGGCCAACACUGACGCUCAUGCACGAAAGCGUGGGGAGCAAACAGG
rnacentral:rRNA from 1 species